rnacentral:rRNA from 1 species
UACGGGGGGGGCAAGCGUUGUUCGGAAUUACUGGGCGUAAAGGGCUCGUAGGCGGCCAUUUAAGUCGGCCGUGAAAUCCCCAGGCUCAACCUGGGAACUGCGUCCGAUACUGGAUGGCUUGAAUUCGGGAGAGGGAUGCAGAAUUCCAGGUGUAGCGGUGAAAUGCGUAGAUAUCUGGAGGAAUACCGGUGGCGAAGGCGGCAUCCUGGACCGGUAUUGACGCUGAGGCGCGAAAGCCAGGGGAGCAAACGGG